AGCGAGGUAAAGGGAUGAAGAAAGGCAGAGAGAGAGGUAAAGGGAUGAAGAAAGGCAGAGAGAGAGGAAAUAGGGAUGAAGAAAGGCAGUGAGAGAGGUAAAGGGAUAAAGAAAGGCAGGGAGAGAGGUAAAAGGAUGAAGAAAGGCAGUGAGAGAGGUAAAGGGAUGAAGAAAGGCAGGGAGAGAGAGGUAAAGGCAUGAAGAAAGGCAGGGAGUGAGGUAAAGGGAUGAAGAAAGGCAGUGAGAGAGAGAGAGGUAAAGGGAUGAAGAAAGGCAGAGAGCAAGGUAAAGGGAUGAGGAAAGGCAGAGAGAGAGGUAAAGGGAUGAAGAAAGGUAGAGAGCGAGGUAAAGGGAUGAAGAAAGGCAGAGAGAGAGAGAGAAAGGCAGAGAGAGGUAAAGGGAUGAAGAAAGGCAGAGAGAGAGGUAAAGGGAUGAAGAAAGGCAGAGAGAGAGGUAAAGGGAUGAAGAAAGGCAGAGAGCGAGGUAAAGGGAUGAAGAAAGGCAGGGAGAGAGGUAAAAGGAUGAAGAAAGGCAGGGAGAGAGAGGUAAAGGGAUGAAGAAAGGCAGGGAGAGAGGUAAAAGGAUGAAGAAACGCAGUGAGAGAAGUAAAGGGAUGAAGAAAGGCAGGGAGAGAGAUGUAAAAGGGAUACAGAAAGGCAGUGAGAGAGGUAAAGGGAUAAAGAAAGGCAGGGAGAGAGGUAAAAGGGAUGAAGAAAGGCAGAGAGAGAGGUAAAAGGAUGAAGAAAGGCAGUGAGAGAGGUAAAGGGAUGAAGAAAGGCAGGGAGAGAGAGGUAAAGGCAUGAAGAAAGGCAGGGAGUGAGGUAAAGGGAUGAAGAAAGGCAGUGAGAGAGGUAAAGGGAUGAAGAAAGGCAGGGAGAGAGAGGUAAAGGGAUGAAGAAAGGCAGAGAGAGAGGUAAAGGGAUGAAGAAAGGCAGAGAGAGAGGUAAAGGGAUGAAGAAAGGCAGAGAGUGAGGUAAAGGGAUGAAGAAAGGCAGAGAGAGAGGUAAAGGGAUGAAGAAAGGCAGGGAGAGAGGUAAAGGGAUGAAGAAAGGCAGAGAGAGAGGUAAAGGGAUGAAGAAAGGCAGAGAGAGAGAGGUAAAGGGAUGACGAAAGGCAGAGAGAGAGAGGUAAAGGGAUGAAGAAAGGCAGAGAGAGAGGUAAAGGGAUGAAGAAAGGCAGAAAGAGAGGAAAUAGGGAUGAAGAAAGGCAGUGAGAGAGGUAAAGGGAUAAAGAAAGGCAGAGAGAGGUAAAAGGGAUGAAGAAAGGCAGUGAGGGAGGUAAAGGGAUGAAGAAAGGCAGGGAGAGAGGUAAAGGGAUGAAGAAAGGCAGGGAGAGAGAGGUAAAGGGAUGAAGAAAGGCAGGGAGAGAGGUAAAGGGAUGAAGAAAGGUAGGGAGAGAGGUGAAAGGAUGAAUAAAGGCAGGGAGAGAGGGGUAAAGGGAUGAAGAAAGGCAGGGAGAGAGGUAAAAGGAUGAAGAAAGGCAGUGAGGGAGGUAAAGGGAUGAAGAAAGGCAGGGAGAGAGGUAAAGGGAUGAAGAAAGGCAGGGAGAGAGUUAAAAGGAUGAAGAAAGGCAGAGAGAGAGGUAAAGGGAUGAAGAAAUGCAGAGAGCGAGAGAGAAAGGCAGAGAGAGAGGUACAGGGAUGAAGAAAGGCAGAGAGAUAGAUAAAGGGAUGAAGAAAGGCAGAGAGUGAGGUAAAGGGAUGAAGAAAGGCAGAGAGAGAGAGGUAAAGGGAUCAAGAAAGGCAGGGAGAGAGGUAAAAGGAUGAAGAAAGGCAGUGAGGGAGGUAAAGGGAUGAAGAAAGACAGGGAGAGAGGUAAAGGGAUGAAGAAAGGCAGGGAUAGAGGAAAAAGGAUGAAGAAAGGCAGAGAGAGAGAGGUAAAGGGAUGAAGAAAGGCAGGGAGAGAGGUAAAGGGAUGAAGAAAGGCAGUGAGAGAGGUAAAGGGAUGAAGAAAGGCAGGGAGAGAGGUAAAGGGAUGAGGAAAGGCAGGGAGAGAGUUAAAAGGAUGAAGAAAGGCAGAGAGAGAGGUAAAGGGAUGAAGAAAUGCAGAGAGCGAGAGAGAAAGGCAGAAUGAGAGGUAAAGGGAUGAAGAAAGGCAGAGAGAGAGGUACAGGGAUGAAGAAAGGCAGAGAGAGAGAUACAGGGAUGAAGAAAGGCAGAGAGUGAGGUAAAAGGAUGAAGAAAGGCAGAGAGAGAGGUAAAGGGAUAAUAAUAAUAUAAUAAUAUAUGCCAUUUAGCAGACGCUUUUAUCCAAAGCGACUUACAGUCAUGUGUGCAUACAUUCUAUGUAUGAAGAAAGGCAGGAUGAAGAAAGGCAGUGAGAGAGGUAAAGGGAUGAAGAAAGGCAGGGAGAGAGGUGAAAGGAUGAAUAAAGGCAGGGAGAGAGGUAAAAGGGGUGAAGAAAGGCAGUGAGAGAGAGGUAAAGGGAUGAAGAAAGGCAGAGAGAGAGGUAAAGGGAUGAAGAAAGGCAGAGAGAGAGAGGUAGGGAUGAAGAAAGGCAGAG